rnacentral:rRNA from 1 species
UACGUAGGUGGCAAGCGUUGUCCGGAUUUACUGGGCGUAAAGAGCGCGCAGGCGGUCGUUCAAGUCGCGUGUGAAAGCCCCCGGCUCAACUGGGGAGGGUCACGCGAUACUGAUCGACUGGAAGGCAGGAGAGGGUAGUGGAAUUCCCGGUGUAGUGGUGAAAUGCGUAGAUAUCGGGAGGAACACCAGUGGCGAAGGCGGGUCUCUGGGCCGUAACUGACGCUGAGGAGCGAAAGCAUGGGGAGCGAACAGG